UGCACAUGAACCGAAUUCUGCCCGACGUC
rnacentral:piRNA from 1 species